AUUGAACGCUGGCGGCAUGCUUUACACAUGCAAGUCGAACGGUAACAGGGAGCUUGCUCCGCUGACGAGUGGCGAACGGGUGAGUAAAGCAUCGGAACGUACCCAGUCGUGGGGGAUAACGUAGCGAAAGUUACGCUAAUACCGCAUACGUCCUGAGGGAGAAAGCGGGGGACCGAAAGGCCUCGCGCGAUUGGAGCGGCCGAUGUCGGAUUAGCUAGUUGGUAGGGUAAAGGCCUACCAAGGCGACGAUCCGUAUCGGGUCUGAGAGGAUGAUCCGCCACACUGGGACUGAGACACGGCCCAGACUCCUACGGGAGGCAGCAGUGGGGAAUUUUGGACAAUGGGCGCAAGCCUGACC
rnacentral:rRNA from 1 species